rnacentral:rRNA from 1 species
GGGGAAUAUUGCACAAUGGGCGCAAGCCUGAUGCAGCCAUGCCGCGUGUGUGAAGAAGGCCUUCGGGUUGUAAAGCACUUUCAGCGAGGAGGAAGGGUAGUGUGUUAAUAGCACAUUGCAUUGACGUUACUCGCAGAAGAAGCACCGGCUAACUCCGUGCCAGCAGCCGCGGUAAUACGGAGGGUGCAAGCGUUAAUCGGAAUUACUGGGCGUAAAGCGCACGCAGGCGGUUUGUUAAGUCAGAUGUGAAAUCCCCGCGCUUAACGUGGGAACUGCAUUUGAAACUGGCAAGCUAGAGUCUUGUAGAGGGGGGUAGAAUUCCAGGUGUAGCGGUGAAAUGCGUAGAGAUCUGGAGGAAUACCGGUGGCGAAGGCGGCCCCCUGGACAAAGACUGACGCUCAGGUGCGAAAGCGUGGGG